GUUGCCGGCCAUAGGGCGUGGGUUCCACCUGAUCUCAUUCCGAACUCAGAAGUUAAACCACGCUCCGUUCAUGGCGCUAGUGUGGUCUUCGGCCACGUGAAACCAAGAAAGCUGGCAAUC
rnacentral:rRNA from 2 species